CCCCUCACCUCACACACUCUGUCCCCUCACCUCACACACUGUCCCCUCACCUCACACACUGUCCCCUCACCUCACACUCUGUCCCUUCACCUCACACACUGUCCCCUCACCUCACACACUGAGCCCUCACCUCAAACACGCUAUCCCCUCACCUCACACACUCUGUCCCCUCACCUCACACACUGUCCCCUCACCUCACACACUGACCCCUCACCUCACACACUCUGUCCCCUCACCUCAUACACUGACCCCUCACCUCACACACUCUGUCCCCUCACCUCACACUCUGUCCCCUCCCCUCACACUCUGUCCCCUCACCUCACUCACUGUCGUCCUCAUCUCACACCCUGUCCCCUCAGCUCCCACCCUGACCCCUUUACUCCAGAGCUCUGGCCCCAGCACCCGGGCCCCCUCGCGCGUCUCUCCCACAGCCAGCUGGUCGGCCCAGGGCACGUGCUGUUCCCACCUGCUCUUCAUCUCACUGCGGGUUCUCCUCCUCAGGGCGUCACUCCCUGCGGCCCGCGUCCGACGCCCCUGCGCCCUGUCCUCCUGGCGCCAUCAGCACUGUCACACCCCUGCCCUUCAUUCGGGUCUGACGGGGCGGGGCGCGGGCCCCUCACCCAGGGCGGUGCCGCCCGCCCGAGCGCCCCGAAGACCCGGGCUCCUGAGGCCGUGCGGGGCUCUGGCCCCCGACCCCGACGGAGCGCGCGCCGCCGCCGCCCGCAGCGAGGGCCGCGACACCACAGCCGCGCAACCGGGGGAGGCGCUCGGCCCGCGGCGUCCGCGCCCUUCCUGUGGGGACCCGAGCGCGUCCGCCCGAACGCCUCCUCCGAGUGCCUGUGGUGGACGCGGACGCGGUCCGCCCGGCGAGCAGACGGGGGCCGGCUGGAGACGACGGCGUCUGUCACCGAGGGACGUCGGUCCCGCCGCCGCCCGCCUCUCUCGGGCAGACACUCUCCGAGGCCGUUAACGAGGAGGCGUCGGGAAUCCCAGGGCGACGCCCGGCGCCGAGGGCGGACGGCGUCCAAGGCCGAGGCGCGUCGCACAGGCUCCAGGCGGCGCUGGGAAGCCCGCGGGGCGGGGCCCGGGGCCGGGGACAGAGCCGCCGGGGACGCGCUCGGCCACCGCGCUCCGCCCGCCACUUCGCCGCCCGCUCUGGCGGGAGCUGACCAAUCAGGGGGCUUCCUGACCCCCGGCCCGGAAGGUCUGCCAAUGGGGGCGCCCUCAGAAGAGCGGGGGCGGGGCGGCCGCCUGGCUCCGGGAGCGCGGCUGGUGAGGGCGCCCGGCCCGCGGCGCCCACCGCAGGCCUCCGUUCCCGCGCUGUGCCCUGCCCUCCGGCCCGCGGCCCGUGGCGGCGGCUCCCUCCGCUGCUGUGCUCGGCGUGUCAGCUCUACUUCUCGUCAAAGCGUCGUUCAGCCGUCGCCCGGAGGUGCAGGACACGGCGACAGCCAGACCCCCGGCACGUUCGGUGACGCCGAGGGCGGGGGCAGGCCGCGCUCAGACGAGCGGCGAGCCCUCUCCCCGGGAGCAUCGCUGUCGUCCGUCUCACUUAUCCAGAAGCCACCAUCACCCCACACGUCGUUGUGA
rnacentral:lncRNA from 1 species